rnacentral:rRNA from 1 species
GGGGAAAAAUUAAUAAAUUAAAGUUAAUAAAAUAAAUUUUAAUAUAAAAAUAUUUAAUGGGGGUUAAAGUAUUUUUUAUAGAAAAAAUUUAAAAUUUUAUAGUUAAUAAGUAUUGUAAAAGAAUUUUGAAAAAAUAAUAAUAAUAAUUUUUAAAAAAGUAGAUUUAAUUUAUUUUAUCUUGUGUAUCAGAGUUUAUUUAUUAAAAUUUUUAAAAAAAAAAAUUCUCGAAUUUAAGAGAGUUAAUUAAUUAUUAAAGUUAAUAUUGCAUAAUUAUUUUAAAUAAUUAAUUAGAAAUGAAAUGUUAUUCGAUCUUAAAUAUAUCUAGUUUUUUUAGAAAAAAAUUUAAUUUUAAAUUUAAUUUUUAUUUUUAUAAAUUAAAUUAAUUUUAUGAAAAUUAAUUAAUUAAGUUUUAUAUUUUAAGGGAUAAGCUUUAAAUUAAAUAUUUACAUGUAAAAUAAAUUUAAAUUAAAAUUUUUAAAAUUUAAAUUGUUUAUAAAUUAAAAUUUUUUAUAAAAAAUUUUAAUUUAAAUAAAAUUUUUAUAAAUAAAAUUAAAUUUUUAUAAAAAAAUAUUUUUUAAUAAAAAUUAAAUAAAAAUAAUGAUAAAAUUAGUAUAAUAUUAUAUAUAUAUAUAUAUAUAUAUAUAUGAUUUAAAAAUAAAAUAAAGGAAUUCGGCAAAUUUAUAAAUGUAUUUAUAUUCACUUGUUUAUCAAAAACAUGUCCUUUAGAAAAUAAUUUAAGGUCUAAUCUGCCCACUGAUAUAAAUUAAAGGGCUGCAGUAAUUUGACUGUACAAAGGUAGCAUAAUCAUUAGUCUUUUAAUUGAAGACUUGUAUGAAAGAUUUGAUGAAAUAUAAACUGUCUCUAUUUUAUAAUUAAAAAUUAAUUUUUUAGUUAAAAAGCUAAAAUAAAUUUAAAAGACGAGAAGACCCUAUAGAGUUUUAUAAAUAAUUAAAAAUUAUUUUUAUAUAAAAAUUAAAAAUAAUUUUUAAUUAUUUAUUUUAUUGGGGUGAUGAAAAAAUUAAAAAAACUUUUUUUAAAAAAUUAACAUAAAUAAUUGGUUAUAUGAUCCAAUAAUAUUGAUUAAAAGAAAAAAUUACCUUAGGGAUAACAGCGUAAUUUUUUUUUUUAGUUCUUAUAAAAAAAAAAGUUUGCGACCUCGAUGUUGGAUUAAGAUAAAAUUUAAAUGCAAAAGUUUAAAAUUUUGAUCUGUUCGAUCAUUAAAAUCUUACAUGAUCUGAGUUCAAACCGGUGUAAACCAGGUUGGUUUCUAUCUUUAAGAAAAUUAAAUAUUUUAGUACGAAAGGAUUAAAUAUUAAAAAUAAUUUUAAAUAAAGAAUAUUAUUAAAGAUUUAUUUUAAAAAUAUAA